GACGAACGCUGGCGGCGUGCUUAACACAUGCAAGUCGAACGAUGAAGCCCAGCUUGCUGGGUGUAUUAGUGGCGAACGGGUGAGUAACACGUGAGCAACGUGCCCGAAACUCUGGAAUAACUACCGGAAACGGUGGCUAUUACUGGAUAUGUGCCAGGGAGGCAUCUCCUCUGGUUGGAAAGAUUUUUCGGUUUCGGAUCGGCUCACGGCCUAUCAGCUUGUUGGUGGGGUAAUGGCCUACCAAGGCGACGACGGGUAGCCGGCCUGAGAGGGUGACCGGCCACACUGGGACUGAGACACGGCCCAGACUCCUACGGGAGGCAGCAGUGGGGAAUAUUGCACAAUGGGCGCAAGCCUGAUGCAGCAACGCCGCGUGAGGGAUGACGGCCUUCGGGUUGUAAACCUCUUUUAGUAGGGAAGAAGCGCAAGUGACGGUACCUGCAGAAAAAGCACCGGCUAACUACGUG
rnacentral:rRNA from 1 species